GUCGAUCUGCUCCAUGAAAUAUAUUUAAAUAGCUGCAGUAUUUUGACUGUACAAAGGUAGCAUAAUAAAUUGUCUUUUAAUUGAAGAAUUGAAUGAAUGAAUUGAUGAAAUAACAACUGUCUCUAUUUUAUUUAAUGAAUUUAAAUUUUUAGUAAAAAUUCUAAAAUUUAAUUAUGGGACGAUAAGACCCUAUAGAAUUUUAUUUAAUAUAGUUAUUUAUUUAAAUUAUUCUUGAAUAUAUAAUUAAUUUAAAUUUGAUUGGGAGGAUUGGUAAAUAAAAAUAACUUUAUCUAAAAAUUAAUUUUGAUGAAAAGAUAUAUUUUUGACUUAUAAAUUAUGAUUAAAAGAAUAAAUUACCUUAGGGAUAACAGCGUAAUAUCUUUUGAUAGACCACAUUGAUAAAGAUGUUUGCGACCUCGAUGUUGAAUUAAGAGAAAAGUUAAACGCAGGAGUUUAAAAUUUUAAGUCUG
rnacentral:rRNA from 1 species